AUCUUGUCUCAAGAUUAAGCCAUGCAUGUCUAAGUAUAAGCACUUUAUACUGUGAAACUGCGAAUGGCUCAUUAAAUCAGUUAUCGUUUAUUUGAUAGUACCUUACUACAUGGAUACCUGUGGUAAUUCUAGAGCUAAUACAUGCUACAAACCCCGACUUCAGGAAGGGGUGUAUUUAUUAGAUAAAAAACCAACGCCCUUCGGGGCUCCUUGGUGAAUCAUAAUAACUUAACGAAUCGCAUGGCCUUGCGCCGGCGAUGGUUCAUUCAAAUUUCUGCCCUAUCAACUUUCGAUGGUAGGAUAGUGGCCUACCAUGGUGGCAACGGGUAACGGGGAAUUAGGGUUCGAUUCCGGAGAGGGAGCCUGAGAAACGGCUACCACAUCCAAGGAAGGCAGCAGGCGCGCAAAUUACCCAAUCCCGAUACGGGGAGGUAGUGACAAUAAAUACUGAUACGGGGCUCUUUCGGGUCUCGUAAUUGGAAUGAGAACAAUUUAAAUCCCUUAACGAGGAACAAUUGGAGGGCAAGUCUGGUGCCAGCAGCCGCGGUAAUUCCAGCUCCAAUAGCGUAUAUUAAAGUUGUUGCAGUUAAAAAGCUCGUAGUUGAACCUUGGGCCUGGCUGGCCGGUCCGCCUCACCGCGAGUACUGGUCCGGCUGGGCCUUUCCUUCUGGGGAACCUCAUGGCCUUCACUGGCUGUGGGGGGAACCAGGACUUUUACUGUGAAAAAAUUAGAGUGUUCAAAGCAGGCCUUUGCUCGAAUACAUUAGCAUGGAAUAAUAAAAAAAGGACGUGCGGUUCUAUUUUGUUGGUUUCUAGGACCGCCCUAAUGAUUAAUAAGGAUAGUCGGGGCGUCAGUAUUCACCUGUCAAAAGUGAAAUUCUUGGAUUUCUGAAACUAACUACUGCGAAACAUUUCCCAGGAUGUUUUCUUUAUCAGGGAACAAAAUUAGGGGACGAAACAACAAAACCGCCUAUCUUACCUAACUAUGCCCACAAG
rnacentral:rRNA from 1 species